rnacentral:misc_RNA from 1 species
UCCCGCUUAUCACGGGCAGUUUCCUUAGAGUUCCCACCAUUACGUGCUGGCAACAAAGGAUAAGGGUUGCGCUCGUUGCGGGACUUAACCCAACAUCUCACGACACGAGCUGACGACAGCCAUGCAGCACCUGUGCACCGUCCAGCCGAACUGAAGGAGUCCGUUUCCGGACCCCGCGACGGGCAUGUCAAAGCCUGGUAAGGUUCUUCGCGUUGCCUCGAAUUAAACCACAUGUUCCACCGCUUGUGCGGGUCCCCGUCAAUUCCUUUGAGUUUUAAUCUUGCGACCGUACUCCCCAGGCGGGGUGCUUAACGCGUUAACUACGCCACCGGAAGUAACUCCCGACGGCUAGCACCCAUCGUUUACAGCGUGGACUAC